rnacentral:rRNA from 1 species
UACAGAGGGGGCAAGCGUUAUUCGGAAUUAUUGGGCGUAAAGGGCGCGUAGGCGGCAUUGCAAGUGGAAGGUGAAAUCCCUCGGCUUAACCGAGGAACUGCCCUCCAAACUGCGUUGCUUGAGGCCGGGAGAGGUGAGUGGAAUUCCCAGUGUAGCGGUGAAAUGCGUAGAUAUUGGGAGGAACACCAGUGGCGAAGGCGGCUCACUGGACCGGUUCUGAC